GUCGAACGAAGCGAUUUGACGGAAGUUUUCGGAUGGAAGUUAAAUUGACUGACUGGCGGACGGGUGAGUAACGCGUGGGUAACCUGCCUCACACUGGGGGACAACAGUUAGAAAUGACUGCUAAUACCGCAUAAGCGCACAGGACCGCAUGGUCUAGUGUGAAAAACUCCGGUGGUGUGAGAUGGACCCGCGUUUGAUUAGCUAGUUGGUGGGGUAACGGCCUACCAAGGCGACGAUCAAUAGCCGACCUGAGAGGGUGACCGGCCACAUUGGGACUGAGACACGGCCCAAACUCCUACGGGAGGCAGCAGUGGGGAAUAUUGCACAAUGGGGGAAACCCUGAUGCAGCGACGCCGCGUGAGUGAAGAAGUAUUUCGGUAUGUAAGGCUCUAUCAGCAGGGAAGAAAAUGACGGUACCUGACUAAGAAGCCCCGGCUAACUACGUGCCAGCAGCCGCGGUAAUACGUAGGGGGCAAGCGUUAUCCGGAUUUACUGGGUGUAAAGGGAGCGUAGACGGUAAAGCAAGUCUGAAGUGAAAACCCGGGGCUCAACCCCGGGACUGCUUUGGAAACUGUUUAACUAGAGUGCUGGAGAGGUAAGCGGAAUUCCUAGUGUAGCGGUGAAAUGCGUAGAUAUUAGGAGGAACACCGGUGGCGAAGGCGGCUUACUGGACAGUAACUGACGUUGAGGCUCGAAAGCGUGGGGAGCAAACAGGAUUA
rnacentral:rRNA from 1 species